rnacentral:rRNA from 1 species
UACGAAGGGUGCAAGCGUUAAUCGGAAUUACUGGGCGUAAAGGGCGCGUAGGCGGGAUGGCAAGUCGGUCGUGAAAUCCCUCGGCUCAACCGAGGAACGUCGAUCGAUACUGCUGUUCUUGAGGAUUGCAGAGGAGACUGGAAUUCCCGGUGUAGCGGUGAAAUGCGCAGAUAUCAGGAAGAACACCCGUGGCUAAGGCGGUUCUCUAGUACGGUACUGACGCUGAGACGCGAAAGCGUGGGGAGCGAACAGG